rnacentral:lncRNA from 1 species
UCCAUACCUCGGAUCUUGUGGAUGUCCUAGAUUCUAAUCGUAGCCACGCACAUGCCCAGCCUCUGCUGGUAUCUACAUGGAGAUAUCUAAUCAAAGCACCAAAAUCACUGGUGUGCUAGCACCUUACAGAUCUCGCUCCUCAUUCUUGGAUCUAGAUCUCUUCUUCCAGAUCUUGAAGAAGGAGAUCACUGCAUGAACUCUUUCAUGUAGAUCCGAUGGGAUCUGAACCAGAUCAUCAUGAAGAGAAAAAGAACCCUUCUUCUUCUCUUCUUCUCUCUCUUUUCUCUUCUUAGAUCUGAUCUCUAUCAGAUUUGGGCAUGGAGGUUGACAUGGAGAAG